GGGGAGGGGCGUCCAGCAAGGCUGAAGAUGCUUUGGUUUUAGGAAAUGCUUAGCUGUGUGAGGUGAAUCCUCCCCCAGCCUGAAGUGAACCUUGGUACCAAACCUCACCUGGGUGAGUUUUUCAUGAAAUGAGUUCAUAGACAGUGAGGCAGGGGAAGAGGUUAAUUUUCUUCUGUGGUUUUAUUUAUUUUUUUAUAUAUAAGUACACUGUAGCUCCCUCUUCUGUGUUUUAAUUUUGUUACAAACAGGGUUGCCCCGCCUAUCAGAGUUGUUCAGUUCUCCCCUGGCAAGAGGGAUGCAGAUGGUAUCAAAUGAUCAGAGCCAGGUCUCUCCUGCCCUCUAGUUCUAGACAUCAGGUGGCUUGAAUUUCUCUGCAGUGGGUUAUUCUGCUUUACUUUGGCUGGUGGACUUGGAUGUGAGGAAGACCACAUGAAUGCAUUUAGUGGAGAGAGAGCUGACCUCCUACCUUGUGUCUUUAAGAACAAGGCGGACACACUUUCUCCUCUCAACUGACCUCGCAAGGGCCCUAAGGAAGGCUCUAAGCCUCUGUCUAAAUUCCUCUCUCACAGGGCCAGGCAGGACAGUUUUGGGGUGGAGCUAAAGGUUGGGACCUCCCAACACUUCUCUUUAUACACCUUUCUCACCUCCCAAGAAACACAAAAAAAGGCCCGGACUUCUGGCCCUCCAAGCUAACCCACAGCUUCCGUCUCUGCUUGCCUGGGUGUCCUCCCUUACAGCCUCAGGCCUCCUAUCUCUUCUUAUAAGACUGGGGAGGCGAGCAAAUGAUGAGGUGCCUGACUCAAGCACACCGAAGACUGCAGCAGAAAGAGCCUAAUUUCUAAUAAGUUCCAGACCAGCAUCCACUCUACACCCGUCCCCUUUUCCUGCCAUUUAUUACUUUGGACACCCCUGGGAGGAGGAGGCAGGAGGCUCCCCUCUCUCCCUCGGGCCCUUUUAAGGACCCUUGUGUUUCCUGCGUUUGGCAGGAGAUUGGGUUUCGUUUCCAGGUGUCCUGGCUGCCUGCGGGUGACUGGAUCCCUCCUGCCUCGGGUUAGCCAUGGGGUGAUGGGCAGGCUGGUCCCCUGCUGGCUUCACUGUGGGUCUCCCUGUCAUGGAUGGCAGAGGUGCAUCCCAGUGGCAACCCUGGGCCCCUCUCUGCCUUCACUUCCGCAGAAUAAAUCUUUUUACAAAUGUU
rnacentral:lncRNA from 1 species